rnacentral:rRNA from 1 species
GAGUUUGAUCCUGGCUCAGGACGAACGCUGGCGACGCGCCUAACACAUGCAAGUCGAACGGUGAAGAGGAGCUUGCUCCUCGGAUCAGUGGCGGACGGGUGAGUAACACGUGAGCAACCUGGCUCUAAGAGGGGGACAACAGUUGGAAACGACUGCUAAUACCGCAUAACGUAUCGGGAUGGCAUCUUCCUGAUACCAAAGAUUUUAUCGCUUAGAGAUGGGCUCGCGUCUGAUUAGAUAGUUGGCGGGGUAACGGCCCACCAAGGCAACGAUCAGUAGCCGGUCUGAGAGGAUGAACGGCCACAUUGGAACUGAGACACGGUCCAAACUCCUACGGGAGGCAGCAGUGGGGAAUAUUGCACAAUGGGGGAAACCCUGAUGCAGCAACGCCGCGUGAGUGAAGAAGUAUUUCGGUAUGUAAAGCUCUAUCAGCAGGGAAGAUAAUGACGGUACCUGACUAAGAAGCUCCGGCUAAAUACGUGCCAGCAGCCGCGGUAAUUC